ACACUGGGCCCUCCAAACUGCAUGUGCAUGUCUGCAGUUGAGGCGGUCCAGAGGUACCUCUCUUUAAAGACACCAGGCCAGCAACACCAUGUUUUGGCUGCCAGCUACAGUUUGGCCUCCCCAGGACCUGGAUGUCUACAGAGUGGAGCCCAAUGCCAAUAGGCUCCAUGGACGGCUCAGGAGAGCCAGCACACGGACAGACAGACACCUGGGGUUCCUGGAGGCAUGAAGAGGACAAACAGGAAAGUUGACAUUUAAUGAGGACAGGACACCUGUUGCACAAGAAUGUGCUUAAUGUCAUUGAACCGUCCUAACAAUGAUUAAAAUGUUCACAUCCUU